GUCAGACACCAGACUGGACUAUCCACACAGAAAAUAACCUAUACUACCAGGGAAGUGAGCUUGGAGAAAGAAGGCAUGUAGAAAAUGGCUUGAAGGAAUUAUUUUUCCUCUGCCUCUGGGAAGAGUGAUUUGCUUUUUUCUCUCUCUCUCUUCUAUAAAGGUACAAGAGAAAAUAAAAUGAUUGUACCUUGAGGGGAAAAAAUGGGGUGAUUCUUUUUAAAGAUUCAGUUGGAGCCAGAAAAUGACACACUUGAUGCUGAGGAAACUCCAAGUAAAAUAUUUUGGCUGUGAUUACUGUUAUCAAGGAAGAACAGGAGGAAAGCUACUACCACAAAGUGAUUAAAGAGACAAAUCUCUGGCCUCCUAUGUGUACCUGGGCACAAGAAUUCUCCAGAUGUCCUCUCCGAAUUGCCAGGGAGGUGAAACAUAUUUAAAAGGCAUGCAUUUUGCAGGACUUUUGGGUUUUCCAGGCAGUAUCACACACAGUUAACAUGUUUUGCUGAUUUCUGUUAUGCAGAAAUGUUUGCUAUACUUUUGCUUUUCAUUCUUAAAAUAGGAAAGUGCUGGGCUGUUCAGGAAGUUAUUUUUUGCAUUCUCAAAACUUCAGGGCUAAAAUUAAUGACAACAUGUAAGCACUAAGAAUUAACUGAGAAAUAUUUAUCCAUUUGUGCUGAGAGGUAACUUGCCUUGUUAGUUCUUAUGAAAUGCAUUGAACACCAAGAUGGAGAUGUUUGAUUCUAGCAAAUGAUCAUGCUGAUCUGCUCUGAUCUUUAUAUCUUUUCUUUAUGUCUUAUAAUUCUUAAUAUCUUCUCUCUACAUAUUAACUUUGAAUGAGUGAUAACUUAAAUAAUUUACUUUAGGAAGAAACACCCUAUCUCUUGCUUUGAAUAAAAUCCCAGUGAAUGUGAUCUGCACUACCCAAAAUAUUCUGGUUAUCUCUCAACCUGGGUUUUUCUGGAGAGAUGGCAGCCUCACCACCAGGCCUACCCCUAAAUUUUGCAGGGCCCAAAAUAAAUUUGCAUAUGAAAGCCCAUAUAUGUCAUGUCUAAAUAUUUAAAUAUUAUAAGUAAAGGUCAUUAUCUGCUAAAUAAAAUAUAUUUUAUACUCAUACUUUGACAAAUAUACCUUCAUUAAAAAAAUACCCAAAAGUGUGAACUAAGGUUUAUUGAAGUCUUGAGAGGGAGGGAGUCAAGGGGUGAACAACUAGCUAUUGGAUAUUAUGUUCACUACUUGAGUGAUGGGAUCAUUAGAAGCUCAAACCUCAGCAUCAUGCAAUGUACUCAUGUAGCAAACAUGCAUAUCUACCCCAUGAAUCUAACAUUUUUUUUAAAAAUAAUAUACAUUCAGAUUAUUUUUAAAAAAAGAAGACUGCAGUUAAGUAUUAGUAUACAUAGCUAUGUAUACUAUUGAUAAGCCAACAACGGUAUGAUUAGAAAUAAAAUAACAAUAUUCACAAGUUAUGUGUUUAUUUCAUGUUAUUUUUAUUUCCCACAUGUACACAAAAUUACUGAUAUUAGUCAAGAUUUUUACAUAAUCCAUGUUUUAUUAGAAUUGAUCUGGGUAUUCAGCAACAAAAUAUAAUGAAGGCAUAAUUAAAGAUGCAAAUUACACAAAAUUUAUAAACAAA
rnacentral:lncRNA from 1 species